rnacentral:lncRNA from 1 species
UAAAUGAGCUCUAUAGUGCAUUCCUUCCACAAAAAGUUUCAUAUUUUAUUGUUAUUUUGCAUUAAUAGUAUUUAUUAUAUUUUGUAUUCCAAACACAAACUCAAAUGUUAAUCAUUCUUAUCACAUGACCUGGGCCUCCUGUGUCUUAUAUUAUAUGGAGAAUAUAUGAAAAUAGGUCAGAAGCCACAUAAAAAGUCCUGUGUGAGUUGUAAAAUGGAUUUGGUCUUCUCAAAUGUGUACAUGAGAAUGUAAUCUAGCAAUUUAAUAAUAAUACACCAGAAGAUGUAGGUUUUUAUUAUGUUUAUUUUCACAUUUUCAGUUAUUUAUAGAUGAAUUGGUCUGUAGUGUUUGCAUUUGCACCAUCAGAUUGUGCUGAACUGAUUAUUAGCCUGAGACUCUGUGCAGUGUUUAGAAAGAAAUGGAACCUGCAAGCCUUUGUCUUAGAAAACUCAUGCCAGAGUGUACGAUAGGAAUAGACAAGUUCGAUUCACCAGAGUCAACACCAAGGACAUGCUACCCCAUGCCUGAUGUCGUGAACAAAUCAUCAAAGCACAGAAAAAUGAGUCAAGAGGGAAAGAGAAGAGGGUUUCUAAUGGUGUUUGUGGUGUCCAGGCAUCCAGGAUCCAGAAACACUCAGGCAAGAUAA